UGUAUUUACCUUGUUGUAUAUACCUCGUUGUGAAAUACUGGAAAAGAGAUGUACUAGGUUCGUGCUGUCCCGUCUCCAUAACGCUUAGUAGGCCUAUGUGUGUGUGUGUGUGUGUGUGUGUUUAAGGUUAGAUUAAGUUAGGCAAAGCUAGGUUAGGCAAGGUUAGAUUAGGUUAGCCAAGGUUAGAUUAGGUGAGGUAAGGUUAGUUUAGGUUAGGCAUGGUUAAUCAGCCCUCCAGCAGGUACUCGUAAUGUGUUAAAAAGCUUUGUGAGACUGUACAGGGCAACGCUUACUGGUCUGAACAUGCGUUGUUCAUGAGAGACUAGUGUUUGUAAACUAAAGCGCCAGCUUUUGACGAUGGGACACCAAAUAACACAACACCGGGUGCCUUCAAUACCAUGGCAUGCUCGCAAACGAAUGUGGAAUAUCAAAUUUGAGGCAGUGAAUAAUCAUUUUUUGGGCAAAGUUAAAUGAUUUUUCUCUUUGAUAUAUUGAUUUUUUGAGUCUAACAUAAAAAAAUAACCUAGUGUUUUAAUGUUGAUGAUCUAAGUAUGAAAUCUCUUCACCGAAGAUAUUUCAUACCCCGAAGUUUUUUCAUACAACACCGGGCACCACGUGUAGGGAGACGUUUUUUUCUGAGAGGCGGAAAAAAGUAGCGAUUAUUGCUAGUUUGGUUACAAAAGUAACGAAGAUACUGAUAUAUAUUUAAUUAAGUAACGGAUGGCCGAUAACCCAAUUUUAUUAUCAGCGAUAAAGUAUCGCGAUAACUUACCGCGAUAACGCCCAGCUAUGAGAUUAUGUUAGGUAAGGUUAGAUUAGGUUAGGGAAGGUUAGGUAAGGUUAGAUUAGGUUAGGGAAGGUUAGGUAAGGUUAGAUUAGGUUAGGGAAGGUUAGGUAAGGUUAGAUUAGGUUAGGGAAGGUUAGGUAAGGUUAGAUUAGGUUAGGGAAGGUUAGGUAAGGUUAGAUUAGGUUAGGGAAGGUUAGGUAAGGUUAGAUUAGGUUAGGGAAGGUUAGGUAAGGUUAGAUUAGGUUAGGGAAGGUUAGAUUAGGUUAGGGAAGGUUAGGUAAGGUGAGUUAAGGAAAACCGAGGUUUGACGGUAUUUUUAUUUUAUUUUAUUUUCUCUUUUUUUGUGUGUGUUU